UACGUAGGGUGCAAGCGUUGUCCGGAAUUACUGGGCGUAAAGCGCACGUAGGCGGAUUGUUAAGUCGGGGGUGAAAUCCUGGAGCUCAACUCCAGAACUGCCUUCGAUACUGGCGAUCUCGAGUUCGGGAGAGGUGAGUGGAACUGCGAGUGUAGAGGUGAAAUUCGUAGAUAUUCGCAAGAACACCAGUGGCGAAGGCGGCUCACUGGCCCGAUACUGACGCUGAGGUGCGAAAGCGUGGGGAGCAAACAGG
rnacentral:rRNA from 1 species